GACGAACGCUGGCGGCGUGCUUAACACAUGCAAGUCGAACGCUGAAGCUCAGCUUUUGUUGGGUGGAUGAGUGGCGAACGGGUGAGUAACACGUGAGUAACCUGCCCCCUUCUUUGGGAUAACGCCCGGAAACGGGUGCUAAUACUGGAUAUUCACUGGUCUUCGCAUGGGGGUUGGUGGAAAGGGUUUUUCUGGUGGGGGAUGGGGUCGCGGCCUAUCAGCUUGUUGGUGGGGUGAUGGCCUACCAAGGCUUUGACGGGUAGCCGGCCUGAGAGGGUGACCGGGCACAGUGGGACUGAGAUACGGCCCAGACGCCUACGGGAGGGAGCAGUGGGGAAUAUUGCAGAAUGGGCGCAAGCCUGAUGCAGCGACGCCGCGUGAGGGAUGGAGGCCUUCGGGUUGUGAACCUCUUUCGCUCAUGGUCAAGCCGCAACAAUGGUUGUGGUGAGGGUAGUGGGUAAAGAAGCGCCGGCUAACUACGUG
rnacentral:rRNA from 1 species